rnacentral:tRNA from 1 species
AUCCCACAAAAAAUUAAUUAACAGCUAACCACCCAAACCAGCGGGCUUCCAUUUGCUUCUCCCGUUAUUAUAAA